CCUGGGUGACGAGCGGCGGACGGGUGAGUAAUGUCUGGGAAACUGCCCGAUGGAGGGGGAUAACUACUGGAAACGGUAGCUAAUACCGCAUAACGUCUUCGGACCAAAGUGGGGGACCUUCGGGCCUCACACCAUCGGAUGUGCCCAGAUGGGAUUAGCUAGUAGGUGAGGUAAUGGCUCACCUAGGCGACGAUCCCUAGCUGGUCUGAGAGGAUGACCAGCCACACUGGAACUGAGACACGGUCCAGACUCCUACGGGAGGCAGCAGUGGGGAAUAUUGCACAAUGGGCGCAAGCCUGAUGCAGCCAUGCCGCGUGUGUGAAGAAGGCCUUCGGGUUGUAAAGCACUUUCAGCGAGGAGGAAGGGUUCGGUGUUAAUAGCACCGUUCAUUGACGUUACUCGCAGAAGAAGCACCGGCUAACUCCGUGCCAGCAGCCGCGGUAAUACGGAGGGUGCAAGCGUUAAUCGGAAUUACUGGGCGUAAAGCGCACGCAGGCGGUUUGUUAAGUCAGAUGUGAAAUCCCCGAGCUUAACUUGGGAACUGCAUUUGAAACUGGCAAGCUAGAGUCUUGUAGAGGGGGGUAGAAUUCCAGGUGUAGCGGUGAAAUGCGUAGAGAUCUGGAGGAAUACCGGUGGCGAAGGCGGCCCCCUGGACAAAGACUGACGCUCAGGUGCGAAAGCGUGGGGAGCAACAGGAUUAGAUACCCUGGUAGUCCACGCUGUAAACGAUGUCGACUUGGAGGUUGUGCCCUUGAGGCGUGGCUUCCGGAGCUAACGCGUUAAGUCGACCGCCUGGGGAG
rnacentral:rRNA from 1 species